rnacentral:piRNA from 1 species
UUGCCUGGCUGACCUCAAGACUUUGAAGGA